CACAUACAGGACCCCACAGAGUGCGAUGACAAAGGAUGGAUGGACAGAAUCAAGUUCUAGGUGGCAUCGAGACAGAAGGAUCCUCACAGCACAAAGCAUCGAUGACACAGAAGCUCUUAUCCAGAAGCCCUCGCGCCCGCAGUCCUGGGAACAAAGACUCUGAUCACCAGCGUCACCUGGCAAGCAAAGGACAGUCACAAACAGAGAUGUCUACAAUCUGGUCAAGCUGAAUCCCACAGUAGCCUGCCGCAAGGACAUUCAUGUCACAUACAGAGAGGUCCUUGUGGUGAGGAGCUCAGGCUGUGAGAAUCCACAGCUGGUCUUAGACAAGUGGGCUUGGAUAUGGAUCCUCCCAAGACGAUCUACCACGUGUGAUCUUGGCCCUAAGGACAGCGUGAAUUCCUCCUCGUGAGAAGACCUCCUGGAUCUCUAAUCCUCUGAAACUGUUGGAAAUGGCAGUUACCAUGUUAAGUAUUUUAAGUGCAGUAGUCAUGGAACAAGAAAAGAGUAAUGCAGAGCCCUUUGUCACAUUGUACUGUGCCUAUGGAAGGUGUCUUCCCUGACCUCCAUGUUUAAAGCUUCAUCAAUCACAAGGGCACUUUAAAAGAAUGUACUAUAAAAUGAUCUAUAGAGACCAAUGCUUGACAGCUUCAGCCUAGGCUUAUCAUGAAACAAGCGCGCUGCUGUAGUCACAUGGUAGCCACCUUCCUCUGUCAAUUGUUCUAAAUGUGGGUGCAGUAGAGCGUUGCAUACACCAAGCACUUAGGACAGUCAAACUGGAAUCUGAAGAUCCCAGAGCCUUGGUGGAGCAAUCUUACAGGGACAACAACUUGUGUUAGUAAAUGUACAAUACCAAUGGAAUUCUGAACCCUGACCCUUCUUUGGGUUCUUAGUUCUUUGAAAUUAAACCUGUACAAAACCAGGAAGUUUUCCCCAGCCAGCCAUCACAGAUGGAGUGUCCGGCUUUCAUUUCUUCCAGGUUCACUUAGAAACCAUAAUGAGUAUUUCUGUAUCAUUGGCAAUCAACACCAGUACCUGCACCUCUUAAGAAAAUCUUAAUCAGAUUAAUUUCUUUGUAGUCUCUGUAUUCUCAUUAGUUUUGCCUGGAGGGUCUAUGACACUGUUUCAAAAUGUAAAGAAAGCACUUCAAUUUGUUUAUUGUGUAAAAUGGAAGUAUCACUGAGGUUCCCUCCUUAAAUAAGAAUGUUUAAAUGUAUAUAUUUUAGAGACAACCCUAUUUCUUUUACAUAUUAUACAUUACAGUCAAAUGUGGUUUUCUUUUUCAGUAAUGGCACAGGUUCUAAUAAUAUAUUUA
rnacentral:lncRNA from 1 species